rnacentral:rRNA from 1 species
AGAGUUUGAUCAUGGCUCAGAACGAACGCUGGCGGCAGGCUUAACACAUGCAAGUCGAACGCGCGUAGCAAUACGCGAGUGGCGCACGGGUGAGUAACGCGUGGAUAUCUGCCUUUUGGUUCGGAAUAACCCCGGGAAACUGGGGCUAAUACCGGAUGGUUCCUACGGGAUAAAGAUUUAUCGCCAAAAGAUGAGUCCGC